rnacentral:rRNA from 1 species
UACGUAGGGGGCUAGCGUUGUCCGGAAUCAUGGGGCGUAAAGCGCGUGUAGGCGGUCCGGUAAGUCCGCUGUGAAAGUCGGGGGCUCAACCCUCGAAUGCCGGUGGAUACUGUCGGGCUAGAGUGCGGAAGAGGCGAGUGGAAUUCCUGGUGUAGCGGUGAAAUGCGCAGAUAUCAGGAGGAACACCUAUUGCGAAGGCAGCUCGCUGGGACGUAACUGACGCUGAGACGCGAAAGCGUGGGGAGCAAACAGG